CACACAAACACUGAACCUGGGUCUGCGCUUGUGAUUGGUUGAGAGGAUGUAGUGACUGUAGUAUCAAUCCACAUGAUAGGCUGGAAUGGUAAACUGUUAUUCUAUUGAACUUUGUAGUGACCCUUUUUCUUCUAUCGAUAGAUAUAUACGGUUACUGAAUUCUCGUCCAGCCCUAGAAGAAAUACCUGUUUCUGCUAUACUGAAGGAUCAGAGCACAGCCAAAAUGGAAAAGAUUCAGCGGAUCUGCUCCGUAGUGGUCAAGGAAGGACUAAAGGAAUUGCAGCUGAAAAAAGACAGACAUGUUCAGAAGAAGUCAAAGUUUGGCAAAGAUCGCAUUGCCUGGCCAAAAGAGAAAUGGUGCACCUUCUUAUCGGAUCUAGGUGUACCAUAGGAGAGUUUAACCAUUACUGCCUGACGGAGAAGUCGGAUCCUUCAAGAAAAUCUACAUUUUUAUGUGUGAUCCUCCGUUUUUGUCCCAGUAGAUGAUUGAUACACACCGAGUGGACACGACAACAACAACUAAUUUAUGUACAAAAAAUGCUUUCUUGAUUAAUAAACCAAGAAAUAUC